rnacentral:rRNA from 1 species
UACGGAGGGGGCUAGCGUUGUUCGGAAUUAUUGGGCGUAAAGCGCGUGUAGGCGGCUUGGCAAGUCGGGUGUGAAAGCCCUCAGCUCAACUGAGGAAGUGCGCCCGAAACUGCUUUGCUUGAGUGCUGGAGAGGGUCGCGGAAUUCCCCAAGUAGAGGUGAAAUUCGUAGAUAUGGGGAGGAACACCGGUGGCGAAGGCGGCGACCUGGACAGUAACUGACGCUGAGACGCGAAAGCGUGGGUAGCAAACAGG